UGUUAAAGUUGCAUACCAUAAUUGAUAAUAAUAUAUAAAACCAAAAAUCAUUUUUGUCAUUUUUUCGGCCAUCGGAGAGUUACAACCGGAAUUCCGAAGGAUCUUCGCCGGCGGCCAUGCCGAAUCCAAACUACAAUCACUUGCAGACUCCACUUCGCCAUACUCAGUCGUCUUCUUCAUCCUCAACUUCCAGACUCCUUCUUCUUCUAACCUUCCUCCCUCUCACUCUCGCAUUCCUUGCUUUCGUCCUCCAGUGGCGCGGCGGACUCACCGACCCCGCCACCCGUUGGUCUCCGCCGGGUUCCUACCAGUUCCCCGGCAUGGAAUCCUCGCCACUCUCCCCGAUUUCGCGCCACUCCACGCCUUCUGCCUCUGAUUGCCUCAAUCUUGGUCGGAGUGUUUCGCCCUCGUUCCCGUACUAUCAGGACUGGAAGUUCGAUCGCGGAUCAAAUUUGAAGCCCAAGAUAUGCAUUACAACAAGUACGUCAGCAGGAUUAGAGCAAAUCUUGCCCUGGAUGUUCUAUCACAAGGUCAUUGGAGUUUCAACCUUCCUUCUUUUUGUGGAGGGCAAAGCUGCAUCUCCUGAUGUGACUAGAGUUUUGGAGUCAAUUCCUGGAGUGAAGUUGAUAUUCAGAACAAAAGAGUUAGAGGAGCAGCAGGCAAAAAGUCGGAUCUGGAAUGAAACAUGGCUUUCUGGUUUCUUUUACAAACCUUGCAAUUAUGAACUAUUUGUGAAGCAAUCUCUCAAUAUGGAGAUGGCCAUCAUUAUGGCAAGGGAUGCUGGCAUGGAUUGGAUAAUUCAUCUUGAUACUGAUGAGUUGGUACAUCCAGUCGGUGCUCAGGAGUACUCCUUGAGGCAGUUGCUGCUUGAUGUGCCUGGAAAUGUUGAUAUGGUUAUUUUUCCUAAUUAUGAAAGCAGUGUUGAAAGGGAUGAUAUAAAGGAACCUUUUACUGAGGUCUCGAUGUUCAAGAAAAACUUUGACCACCUGCCCAAGGAUACAUAUUUUGGCAUGUACAAAGAAUCAACUCGUGGUAACCCAAAUUACUUUUUGACUUAUGGAAAUGGGAAAUCAGCUGCUCGAAUUCAAGAUCAUCUUCGCCCCAAUGGUGCACAUAGAUGGCAUAAUUACAUGAAAACCCCAAAUGAGAUUAAAUUGGAGGAAGCUGCCGUAUUACACUACACAUAUGCAAAAUAUUCUGAUUUGACCUCUAGACGUGACCGCUGCAGCUGUAAACCUACCAAAGAUGAUGUUAAAAGAUGCUUCAUGUUGGAAUUCGAUAGAGCUGCAUUCAUAGUGGCAUCUACUGCAACCCAGGAGGAAAUGAUGAACUGGUACCGAGAACACGUAGUGUGGGGUGACAAAGAUGUAAAAAUCAAGUUGUUGAGGAAGGGGAUUUUAACACGAAUUAAUGCUCCUAUGGUUACUUGCCGGUCGUCUCUACGCACUUGCCACCGUCGUCGUCAUUUGAAAGGGAGGUAGCAGAUGCAAACCCAGACGUUAUAUCAUUCAACAUUCUAGGGAAGAAGGUAACAUUCUCCCAAGAGAAUUUUAACUUGAUAACUGAGUUGUGGCCGACCAGGGAAAUAGUGGAAAGAGAAACAAGCGUUGAAAGGCUGCGAGAACUCAUUCUUGGACCGAAGGACCCAAAUAGAAAGGAUAGAUCUUGCAAGGAUGUGGAGACUGCAUUCGAGAACAUCAAUUUUACUAAUGACGAAGAUGCUGUCAAGAUUGCAUUGGCACUGUUUAUUAAAACGGUGAUGAUUGGAAAAGACAAAAAACCCAGUUCCAUGUGAAUAUAUUUGGGAUUGUCGAUGACCACGACAUCUUCGUACAUUACGACUGGUCUUCUCUCUUUUAUCGACAUACAUUGAAUAAUAUGAAGACUAUCAUGCGUGGGAAUGAGACAUAUGAUUCAAAGAAAGCAGAAGGUGAUCACCAUGCCUCACAUUACUAUAUAAAGGGAUUCGUACUUGCUUUCCAGAUAUGUACUUUUGUUUCUGAUUCACUUUAAUAUAUAUUGAACUUGUGUGUUAUGUACGUGUAUCAAAGUUUCCAUAUCGUAGGUUUGGGCUUACGAAAUUUUAUCCACAUCAAGUAAGUUCAUAGCCACCAAAGUCAGCAAGCUUGAAAUUCCUAUAAUUCUUAGAUGAACUUGUUCUUGUGCUCCACCUUAUAAAUCAUUGAGCAAUAAAGUUUUUCACCCAAGAAAAGUAAGUAAUCGAUCACUUCUGACUUGCUCAUUUGUUUAUAGUUUCAUGCAUUUUGACUUGCUCAUUUGUUUACGUACAGAUUAUUGUUGUGUCGAGACUUGUACCUAGCACAGAGGAGAUAAGGUACAAGAAGGACCACUUGGAAGGACUUAAUGUGGUUCUUGUUGUUGGAGCAAGAAGGAUUGAAGGGGUUGAACACUCCAUCAACACUCAUGAGUCCUUUGGGGGGCACGAAGAGCAUGAACCCCAUGUAGAAAACUCUGUAAAUGUGCAAGGUAUAGAGCCAGAAUCACGUAUGCCGGUUCAGGCUAACCCAAUAGUGUCGGAACCACGUAGGGAACAAAAGUCCUCAAGACAUCUCAUUCCAAAUCAUACAAGAUUCUUAGGGAGGAAACUAAAGAAGUUCGUAAAGAUUUGGCGAACUUGACUACCAUGGUCCGUCAGAUGGGAGAUACAUUUAUUGUCCAACAUCAUCUGAUGGGCCAACAAUUGAACGAAAUAAAGAUGAUGGUCCAUCGUCUGAAUGGGGCAUGCAUUUCUGUACAGUCGUUUAGAUAUUCCCAAAUGGACGAUUGUUUAGAAAAUCUAAACGGUUGUUUAGAUAAUCUAAAUGAUUGUUUAAGACUAUCUAAACGAUCGGUUAUAUUUUAUAGACGAUAAGUUAAAUAUUCUUUCACGAUCGUUUAGAUCAUAUUAAACGAUCGUUUAGAUUUUCUAGAUGAUCGUUUACAUAUUUUUAAACGAUCGAUUACCUCCCUUGACAGAAUAGUUUGUUUGAUUUGUUCAGGAUAAUAAUAAUACAAGGACUCAUCAUGAUGAGAGGUAUGAUAAUGAGGGACCUCGUGAUGAUAAUAAUGGUGAUAGUAACAAUAAUGAGGGACCUCGUAAUAAUGAUGAUCCCCCUCAGACCGAUGCAGAAGAUCCCCAAGGUACCCACCAAUAAACUCACAGUGUAGAAGAUACCCCUCAUACCGAUGUAGAAGAACAUGUCAGUGAACAACUAGUCAAUGAACAACCAGUUGGGACAAUUAGUGAUGUCAAUGAACUCCCUACUCAAGCGUUUAGUCUUAGGGGCAUUUCAUUGCGGAUUCAGCCAAGGUUGUGGGGACAUCAACUCAGAAGGAUGCUACUGAAGUUGAGGAAAAAAUUGAUCGAGAGCUUUGGAAAAGGAAAAACCAGCCAAGUUCACACCUAAGUUGGUGAAAAGGGGGAAGACAGGAGAUUCUCAGCCUCAAUCUUCUCAGUCCCAAUCUUCUCAGCCACAAUCUCCUCAGCCCCAAUCUUCUUAGCUUCAAUCGGCCACACUCAAUCCCAACCCCUUGGUCCCUGUACCUGACUUCCCCAUAAGGACCGUUAGUUCCUAUGACCCAUGCUUCCCAGUCCCAAAUGUUCUGUGGAACGCAUACAAAAGAUGGAAAAGCCAUCCUAAAACCAAAAACGAGGAGUGGACGAUUGUAUACAACCUUCAAGACCAAGGAUUUCUUCAAAAUGCUUGAGCAGAACACAUGGGUGCUUGGAGACACUAUGGAUCUCCUUUUGAUGCACAUGCAUUAGAAGUUGCACUCAAAACCUGACUUGUGCAAGUAUCGAUUCACGAUGAUUGACUCGAGCUUCACGAUAUGGAAAUUUCACAUAUUUGUUAAAACUAUUCUUCACUCAACCAUGUAUUUACCAUCUUGCCUGUCCUAGGAAGCUUGGAUAGAGCUAGAAGGUAUUACUUCUAAGAUCCAGUCAGGAGGUAUUGAAAUGGAAGGUGGUAAAAUGGCAAGCUGGUUGGAUCAUGAAGCACACAUGAGGUUUUGGGCGAACUCUCACUUCUUUAUUGACUACGUGCUUGGACAGUAUGAAGAAUACAAGCCAGCGUGGACAGAUGUUGACUUCGUAUUUGGGCCAAUCAAAAUCCAAACAACACUAGCUUAUGCUGGCCAUCGAUCUAGAGAGGUGCACAAUCUUUAUAUUUGACUCCAUGCCGAACUACAUCGAUGGCGACAUACUUGAUGGUUACCUCAAGCUUGUGGUCAGAGUAUACCUUCGAUGUUGAUUUUUGUCAAAUUUGACAAACAAUAUAAGAUGUUCAAGUACGGGCAAUGGAAAGUGAAGAGAUCGAAGGUGACCCUCCAAGAGGGCAAGUCUCUAGACUGUGACAUUUUUUGUGCUAAAUUUGUAGAAUACUGUGUAACUGGUGCUAAUAGGGUUGACUUAACACAGACUAAUAUGGAAUUGUAUAGGAAACAGUAUGUUGCCCAGUUGUGGGCAAAUAAAUAUUUAUGGAAAUAGAAUUGAUGUUUGACUAUAUAUAACUAAGAAAAUAAAUAACUAAGUAAUCGCCCAAACUAACUAAAAGAUCAUUUAAGAAUAUGUGUAAGAUCGUUCAAAAAUAUGUAAACGAACGUUUAGAAAAUUCUAACCGAUCGUUUAGAACAUUAAACGAUCGUUUAAUAAAAAUCUAAACAAUGAUGCAUAAUUAACUAAGUGAUUGUGCACAAAUAACUAAGCGAUCACGCAUAGAAAUUAUAGAUGGGCCAAUGCAGGUGUUAUCGAUGUUUGUCUGUACGUUUUCUUGUUAUGUCCUCUCUGACUAGAUCGUGUAUACCUAUGUAUUUGUCGUGGCUCCUUUCCAGGUUUGAUGUUGACCUACACUUGCUACCUUUUGUGGUGGUAUAAGUUCAAAAUCUUCAAAAUCUGUACUUCGACUCCAUUCUUGUCUAUGUCCAACUGGGAAG